rnacentral:rRNA from 1 species
GGACCCGCACAAGCAGCGGAGCAUGUGGUUUAAUUCGAAGCAACGCGAAGAACCUUACCAAGGCUUGACAUCCCUUGACGCGCAUAGAAAUAUGCGUUCCCUUCGGGGCAAGGAGACAGGUGGUGCAUGGUUGUCGUCAGCUCGUGUCGUGAGAUGUUGGGUUAAGUCCCGCAACGAGCGCAACCCUUAUCAUUAGUUGCCAGCGAGUAAAGUCGGGAACUCUAAUGAGACUGCCGGGGAUAACUCGGAGGAAGGUGGGGACGACGUCAAAUCAUCAUGCCCCUUAUGUCUUGGGCUACACACGUGCUACAAUGGCCGGUACAGAGGGCAGCGAAGCCGCAAGGUGGAGCGAAUCCCAAAAAGCCGGUCUCAGUUCGGAUCGUGGGCUGCAACCCGCCCACGUGAAGCCGGAGUUGCUAGUAAUCGCGAAUCAGCAUGUCGCGGUGAAUGCGUUCCCGGGUCUU